CCUGAACUCCGAGCCAGGGCGCAACGAGGAGAGGGUAAUGCUGCCACCAGGGGGCACUAGAGAUCACGUGCAGCGGAGGGGCUCGCGCGGCCUCUCUGACCCUAUAAGACUGGAAGGAUUUGGGAGGUGUCUGACACCUACUCCAGGCCCUCUCCUCAACGCCUACCCCACACCCCAGGGCCAGCGUCUUCUCAGGGGUGAUUCUCGCAGAGGAACUUCGCAGUUCCCUUAGAGUUACUGCUGAGAAAACUUUCGUUCUGCAAAGGCUGACUGAUCAACGACGUCUUGAAAAGACCCCAUCACGACUAGACCAAGGGAUCUGGAAUCUGUAUCUGGCAGGCCAGUCUGACAAGCUGGGCAGUGACAUACCCCAGGACCUUCAUCCUGGCUUCAUACUCUGUCAGUGCCUCCUGCUGGAACUGUAAGGACAGCAAAGACCACCACCUGGCUCAGGAAGGGCCUCCUGCCUACACUCCCUCCCCUGGAGAGCAGAGCAAGAUGACCUGGGACUCAGUCUGUUCGGAGUGCUCAGGAGACUGGGGCGGAGGUGUGGGGCAUUGGAGCCCAUCAGGGAGCCUCUCAGGGCAGAAAGUGGAAGGGCGAGGAUGCCGCCUAGUGGGCGCACUGGAAAGCAUGUGCCAGCUGAGAAUCCAGGCAAAGCAGACGCUCCAGGAAGUCACCGGUGUGUCUGUCAUUUGUGAUCCAUGGAGACACAUACGCUGGGGAGUUUGGCAGGAACCAAGCAAGAAGAAAGAAGUUUAAUUUGCAACAGAAGACAUACAACAUGCAUUCAAAAAGAUGAUGGAAGGAGGCUCUGGGUUGGCUUUCCUCGGAAUCUUUCAGAAUAAUUCGCCUAGGUAUAUUGGUAUGAUCCAUCCAAGAAGACUGGAAAGCAAGGAAAUAAGAGGACUACAUCCAGAGACAAUUCAGGGAUUUUUAACUUAACAGGCUACUAGAUGGGCCAUGGCUGAUCUGGAAGCAGGAUGGGAAAGGAGUGGUUAUCUUCUCCCUCAACCCACAGAAGGCAAUAAACAUUCCAAACUUCCAAUGUCCUUAACAUUUCUCAGAAAGUAAAAAGCCAGGAUCGUCCUGGAAAUAGCACCCAGUUGGCCACAGCCAGGCAGACUCACACCUGGGCUGAGGAAUCAAAGUGAGGCACAAGGUUACAGGCCUAGGGUUCCAGCAAGAGCAGCACACUCGCUCUGGUAGCCCCUGACUUCUCUACAGUUCAAGUGGCAGGGCAGCAGUGCUGGGGAGCCGCUUCCUCAUAAGGGUCAGAGAGGGGAAACUGGUAGGGUGGGAAGGGUCCUGCCCCCAGAAUCAGAAACCAGGAGUUAGACUCACACAUGCAGGGGCCAGAGGGGACUACCCACAGAUUCCCAUGGGGAUCACAGUCCUCUCUCACACAUACACACACACUCACACAGGCACAUAUUCCCACACCCACUGACAACCAGGCAGUCCAUACACCCAGCUCUGGGAACACAGGAAGUACAUUCAAGGAGGAGGGAACCAGAAAUUCUGGAAAGCCUU